UACGUAGGCAGCGAGCGUUGUUCGGAAUUACUGGGCGUAAAGAGUGUGUAGGCGGUGCUCUAAGUUCGGUGUGAAAUCUCCUGGCUCAACUGGGAGGGUGCGCCGGAAACUGGAGUGCUUGAGCGUGGGAGAGGAAAGCGGAAUUCCUGGUGUAGCGGUGAAAUGCGCAGAUAUCAGGAGGAACACCGGUGGCGAAGGCGGGUCUCUGGGCCGAUACUGACGCUGGAGGAGCGAAAGCGUGGGGAGCGAACAGG
rnacentral:rRNA from 1 species